GGACAGGUGCUCGAGUGGUUUAAGAGGCACGCCUGGAGAGCGUGUAGACCCCAAAAGGGUCACGUGGGUUCGAAUCCCACCCUGUCCG
rnacentral:tRNA from 1 species